CUAAGUUGACUGCCGGUGACAAACCGGAGGAAGGUGGGGAUGACGUCAAAUCAUCAUGCCCCUUAUGAUUUGGGCUACACACGUGCUACAAUGGACAAUACAAAGGGCAGCGAAACCGCGAGGUCAAGCAAAUCCCAUAAAGUUGUUCUCAGUUCGGAUUGUAGUCUGCAACUCGACUACAUGAAGCUGGAAUCGCUAGUAAUCGUAGAUCAGCAUGCUACGGUGAAUACGUUCCCGGGUCUUGUACACACCGCCCGUCACACCACGAGAGUUUGUAACACCCGAAGCCGGUGGAGUAACCAUUUGGAGCUAGCCGUCGAAGGUGGGACAAAUGAUUGGGGUGAAGUCGUAACAAGGUAGCCGUAUCGGAAGGUGCGGCUGGAUCACCUCCUUU
rnacentral:rRNA from 1 species